rnacentral:rRNA from 1 species
UACGGAGGGUGCAAGCGUUAUCCGGAUUUACUGGGCUUAAAGGGUGCGUAGGCGGUUCUGUAAGUCUGUGGUGAAAUCUCCGAGCUUAACUCGGAAACUGCCAUUGAUACUAUAGGUCUUGAAUUAUCUGGAGGUGAGCGGAAUAUGUCAUGUAGCGGUGAAAUGCUUAGAUAUGACAUAGAACACCAAUUGCGAAGGCAGCUCACUACGGAUAUAUUGACGCUGAGGCACGAAAGCGUGGGGAUCAAACAGG